rnacentral:lncRNA from 1 species
UUUUUUUUACCAGUUAGGGGUUUAAAAAUGCAGAAUUAUAGGGAAUUCGUAAUAUAAUACUAUGGAUAUAUUUCCUCAUUAAGCAUAACAUAGGUACCUCCUAGCAAAGCAGAUAAUGGUCAGUUUCAUAAAAGGUGGCUUUUGGUAAGUAUGUGACUUUAAACAUGAGAUGGAGCCUUGCAGGAAGAAGUGGGUCGCUGAAGGCAGAGCUUAAAGUAUCAUAAGCUGGUCCAAGACUCUCUCUCUCUCUCUCUCGCUCUCUCUCGCUCGCUCGCUCUCACUCUGUGUGUGUGUGUCUGUCUGUCUGUCUGUCUGUCUGUCUGUUGUCGGUUCAGGUCCAUCUCCUCCCUCUCCCUCCUGCGCCCCCCACCUCCGCUUCUUAACAGCAAGUGCAAUAUGAAUGGUCAGCCUCUCACUCCAGUUCGAGCUAGCAUGCUUCCCCUCUAAGAUGGACUGGGUCCCCUGGAGCCAUAAGUCAAACCAGUCCCCUUGCUUUUUGUUCCAGCAAAGAAAAAAAAAUUAAACUCCUGACCAAUGGACUUCCCCUUUCUAGAUUCUGAUUUCUGCAUUGUAGCAGGGAGGAGGGACACAUAAAAACAUGUCUGAAGUAGUGAGAAUCUCAAACUCCAAAUUCCUGGAUUUUCUUCCUUUUCCCUUCUGUUCUUUACUUUUUUCCAACUAAGGGAAAGCCAACUUGUUGGUAGUUAUCAGAGAUGAAUACAAAGAUGCCUAUGGAAGGUAGAUGUCUGUCAUAAGCACUGAAAAGCUCUGGAAAAUAUUUCCAUCACACAAACUAGGAUCUCACAUAGUAAUACUCUUAAGUAAUAAGAUGGUCAUGUAAAAAUGUAUAUUCUAUUUUGAAAAAUGAUCCAAAUAGAAAAACAGGCUUUUAGUUACUUACUGCUAUGGUUUCCUGUUAUUAAUGUGUAUUUUUCUUUUUGUUUAGUAUUAGUAUGUUCACAAGACUAAUUGCUAAAUCACUGAAAUAAAUAUGACACAUGUAUGUAAGUAAUUUGAAAAAACAGAAAUGUAUUACUUUGUAUGUUUUUUAAAAAAUAGUUUAAUGUAUCUGACUAAUAAUAAUAGUUCCUAAUUUGCUCAUUAUAAACUCAACUAGAGCAUAAGCCUUGCUCUAGUUGAUUGUGGCACAAAACAGGAGUGACCGCUUAGAAAAUAUAAGGGACAAGGCAGGAUAACUUCAACCAUUAUGAUAAAGAAUUCCGUGGAGUUGGACCAAACCUCCGAGCAGAACGCAGCUCACCAUUCUGGCUGGGGACUUGGGGUCAAUGAUGGUGAUAUUUGGCACUGGAUGACCUUAUACUUCAAACAGAUGUGCAAGUUCUGUUGAUUCUUUGAGGCUACACCCUUAGAUAUUUUUUUCCUUUCCAUACUUGACCUAUAGAAUCAGAGCAGAUGGAAAAUGCAAGCACCAUGGCAGGAAAAAGAAGCAGGUGCCCCUCCCUCCUGUCAGAUACAGACAGAGUGUGUGUGCAGAUAGCUGCAGAGCUUGCAAGAUAACCUGCUUUCCACAGAAAGGCUGGUGCUUAUCCAAACCAGGAACCACCUUUCCAAUUAAGAUGGGAGUUACUCAGCUAGGUGACUCUUGGGAGAGCCCACAAGACUCCCUUUUUCCCUUAGACAUUUUUGAAUUAUGGUUUUUCCAUUCAUAAAAUGAGGUAGUUGUUCUAGAUGAUCUGGGGAUUUUUUUUUCCAGUUUUCAAGAUUCCUGAUUUCACAGUUAGUUCACUCUCCAUUGUCCCUCCGCUUGUGUGACAGAAUAGGAAGUGACCUCACUCCACUGCUAAAUGGCAACCAUAAAUGGAAAAAUAUAUGUUUGGAGGCUGACACUCCCACCCCCCUGGGAUGAAAUAAGUGAGCAGCCAUGUUCAAGGCCAAUGAGUGAAGACUUACAGGAAAGCAUGCAAUCGUCUGCCAGCAUAGCUGCUACACCAGAUAGCCUAAGCCAGACAGCUAUUCAUACAUCACAUUUCAGAAAAAGAGUCCAAGUACUCAAGAGCCCCAUCUUAGGAUAAUGUCACAGGAAUGUCCAGACAGUGUUUUCCUUAACUCCAGAAAGAGUGAUUUAGAAGGAAGAGUCUUGCCACAUGUGUCCAGCUGCAUGUUUUGUGCUCUUGGAAGCAAAUUACUCUAUAAACACAGACAUGAACCAAUAACAAAAGCUUAUAGUCAUUGCAGCCUUGUGUAUACAAGGCAUCAAAUUAAUAACUACUAUCAAAUUUAAUGUAACCAUAAACCACACAGCAACGUUUUAUUUGCAUCAGAGCGCCAAAUUCUGGGAGUCCACCCUUGAAUGACUUGAAAUGAUUGGAAAUUGAGUUGUUUGCUUAGAGUUUAAAAUAUUGUUUAGUCACACAGCUAGCCCGGUGUGCCUGUUAAGGAUCAAUAAAAUUUUACACUUUUAACACAUCAGUUAUUGCCAAUUAAGAAAGAUCUCCUCAAAAAAAAAAUCAAGUCUAAAAUUUUAAUGUGCCUUUUGUCAUAUCAGGAUGCAAGAGUGAGCUUCUUGUAUCCAAAAUAGUCCUGAAGUGGUUUUGAGGGAUGAUGGCUUAAGGCGGGAAGGUGCAGAUCACGCAUUUCCGUCCUUCUACCCUACAGAACAUCCUUUUCUCUCCACACUGCUUACUUAUCCU